CGUUCAAUUAUUAUUACUACUACUAUGGCAAAUGGUUAUGCAACAAAAUUAUCAGAUUUCAGCUACGAUGUUUUUCUGAGUUUUAGUGGCGGAGCCAGCAAUGCUUUUGUUGAUCCUCUAUGUCGAGCUUUGCAUCACAGAGGAAUCAACAUCUUCAGAUCAGAAGAUGGCAAAACCAGACCCGCCAUUGAAGAAAUUGAAAAAUCCAAAAUGGCAAUGGUUGUGUUGUGUCACAACUAUGCAUUUUCCAAGGAGUCCCUUGAUGAACUAGCCAAGAUCAGUGAGUAUGUUGACAAUAAAAGAAAACAGGUUUGGGCAAUUUUUUACAAAGUGGAACCAUCAGAUGUACGAAAACAAAAAAAUUCCUAUAAAAAAGCCAUGGAUGGUCAUGAAAUGAGAUACGGAAAAAACUCGGAGAAGGUAAAAGCAUGGGGGAAUGCUUUGACUAGAGUAUGCGAUCUAAGCGGAAUACAUUUCAAGGAUGAUAUGUUUGAAGCUGAACUUGAGAAGAUUGUUGAAGCAGUGUUCUCUAAAUUAGCUCCCGUGCCUGUACAAAUGAACCAUGUAGUUGGACUCGAUUAUCACUUUGAACAGGUGAAAUCAUUUUUAGAUGUUGAGUCUAGUGAUACCGUUCGCAUGUUGGGAAUUUAUGGAGCUGGAGGAAUAGGUAAAACUACACUUGCAGUCUAUUUAUAUGAAAAGAUUAGGCAUUAUUACUUUGAAGCUGCUAGUUUUCUGAUUAAAGACAGAGAAAACCCAAACAAGAGCAAUAAUCUCUUGGAAGAUCUUCAAAAGAAACUUUUAUCUCUAAUGGGCGUAGAGACAGAAACCAUGAUGGGGAGUACAAAUAAAGGAGAACUUGAAAUCAAACGCAGGCUUGGCCAUAGAAGAGUUCUUCUAGUUUUGGAUGAUGUUGAUACAAAAGAACAAUUGGAAUCACUGGUUGGAAAACUUAAUUGGUUUGGUUCGGGUAGUAGGAUCAUUAUAACAACAAGAGAUGCAGCUGUGCUGGAUUAUGAUAAUGGAAUUAAGAAAUAUAAAAUGGAGGAGCUAAAAGAUUGUGACGCACUUGAACUUUUUUGUUGGAAUGCCUUUGAUAUGCCUGGACCUGCAAAAAACUUUGAAAAUAUUGCUCAUCGUGCAAUAGGUUAUGCAAAGGGUGUCCCUUUGGCUUUACAAGUAUUAGGAUCCAAUUUGAAAGGAAGAAUCAUAGAGGAAUGGGAAAUUGAAUUGGGAAAAUAUAGGAAGGUUCCAAAUGCUGAGAUUCAAGGUGUCCUAGAAAUAAGUUAUUAUAGCCUGCCUGAGCCUGAGAUGAAAAUAUUCUUGGACAUUGCUUGUUUUUUCAAAGGGGAGAAAUCGAAUUAUGUUAAAAGGAUAUUGAUGGCUUCUGAUUUAAGUAUUCAAGUACUUACUUCUAAAUGUCUAUUGAUAGUUGAUGAAAAUGGUUGCUUGGAGAUGCAUGAUCUAAUACAAGACAUGGGUAGAGAGGUUGUCAGGAAGGAAUCACCAUAUAAACCUGGUAACCGCAGUAGAUUAUGGUCUCAUGAAGAUGUUCUUCAAGUACUGAAAGAAAACUCAGGAAGUAGUACAAUAGAAGGAAUAAUGCUUCAUCCCCCUAGGCUUGAAGAAGUAGAAAAUUGGACUAAUACCGCCUUUGAGAAGAUGAAGAAUCUCAGAAUUCUUAUUGUUCGGAAUACAAAAUUUUCAACAGGACCUAGUUAUCUACCAAAUAAUUUACGACUCCUUGACUGGAUUGGAUUCCCAUCGAAGUCUUUUCCACCUUCUUUUUAUCCUGAGAAUAUCGUUGACUUCAAGUUAUCUCAUAGUCCUUUGGUAUUGGAAAAGUCACUUGAAAAGGUAUUUCAGGAUUUGACUUUUGUCAAUCUUUCCCAUUGUCAGUUCAUAACUCAAAUACCGAACAUGCAUGGAGCUAAAAACUUAAGAGUAUUGACAAUUGACAAAUGCCUUAAAUUGGAAGGGUUUCAUCAAUCCAUUGGGCAUAUGCCCAAUCUUGUAUACUUAAGUACAUCAGAGUGUAUCAUGCUCAGGAGUUUUGUGCCAAGAAUGUAUUUGCCAUCUCUGGAAAUGCUUUCAUUUAACUUUUGCAGUAAACUUGAAAAACUCCCAGAAGUAGUGAGAAAGAUGGAUAAACCAUUAAAAAUACACAUGAAAAAUACUGCUAUUAAGAAGUUUCCGGAUUCUAUUUGUAAACUUACAGGGCUUGAGUAUGUAGACAUGUCAGCUUGCACAGGACUCAGAGAUAUAUCAAGUUUUGUAUCACUGCCAAAACUUGUCACGUUAAAGAUGAAUGGAUGCUCUCAACUCGCAGAAUCAUUUAAAAUGUUCAGAAAGAGCCUUUCUGAAGCAAAUAGCCUGCCGAAUUUAAAGGAAUUACAUUUAAGCAGGGCUAAUCUGUCGUAUGAAGAUCUUUCCAUAGUUCUUCAUAUAUUUCCAGAAUUGGAGUACUUGAAUGUAUCCCACAAUGAAAUUGAAUCCAUCCCAGAAUGCAUCAAAGGAUCUUUGCAGUUGAAGAAUCUUGAUGUAAGUUUUUGCAGGAAUCUUGGGGAAAUUCCAGAACUUCCAUCAAGUAUUCAAAGAGUAAAUGCAAGAUACUGUCAAUCCUUAACUAUAGAGUCAUCAAGAGUGCUGUUAUCCAAGGUUUAUAAAGAAAUGGAGAGAAUACAUGUUGUGAUGCCAAAAACUGGAAUUCCAAAGGGGUUUCAAUGUAUUGACAGAGAAGAUAUUCCACUUUUUUGGGCUCGCCGGAAGUUCCCUGUUGUUGCUUUAGCAUUUGUGUUUAGGGAAGUAAAAACUAAAGAGGAUAUACUGAUGGAUACCUCAGAAUUGUUGCCUGGAGUUGUAUCUGCUGAGGAGUCCUACACUGUCGGCCUGAACUUGUUUAUAGGUGGCCAAGAAAUCUGUUGCAAAGUUCACAAUUACUGCAGUGUUGGGGAUCAUCACAUGUUAGUAUGUGAUCUACAGGUUUUGUUUAAUGAUGAAGGGUGGAAGGGUCUUGAUGCAUAUGUUGGAGAUGACUGGAAAGCCAUUCAAGUUCAAUGUGAAUCAACUUUGAGUCUGAGUCAUUGGGGAGUUUAUGUGUACAAGCAGAAAACAAACACUGAUGAUAUUCUAUUUAGUUUUCCCGAUUCAACAAGUUUGGUUUCAAAAGCAAGUCCACAGAAGAAAACAAGACAUAUACAAUGUUACGAUGCAAUAGAAAAAUUUGGCCAGAACUUGAAUUCAUUUAAAAUAGAACAAACUGCCUCAGUUGCAAACAUGCUAUUGAGAUGGUGGAGGAAUGCCAAGGCUAAUAUUAGAGGGGAUGUUUCUGCCUCUACAUAUGACGCAAGUUUAUUGCAAGAGCAUGAAGAUGUUGUCUGGGAUCUGGCACACAUUUUGGAGAUGUUGAUGGAAACAUUGCCAAAACAUACUAAUUCAGAAGUUCAAAGAACAGGCCAAUUGGUGGUUGAAUUAUUGGUUGCACAGGCACAACAUAUAAAGGAAUAUUACCAUGAGAAGUUUCACUACAAUCUAACUAUGCCUAUUAUUCUAGUGGAAUGUCAAUGUCACCCUUGCACAGAUUUAGAAAGAGCUCAAAGCCUUCGUUAUUGGGGAACCGUGGAGCUAGAAGAAGGAGAUCCACUUGUGUGGAAAAUAUGGAAGAGAAAUGAAGCAUUCAAGGAGAGGCUAAAUUACACUGUUCUGUUGAAAUGUGAGCAUCAUUCUACUAAGGAAGCUUCAAGCUCUAGCCAUAGGGAUUCCUUGGUGGAAGAAUACAAUGAUCCUACAUUGCAAGCAUUGAUGAGGAGGAUAGAAGAAGAUACUGCGAGGUUGAAUAAAUCUUAUGCGAAGUUGAAGGCUUCUAUUGUUCAAACGAAUGUCCCAGUUUCUGAAAAAUAUCUUCUGGAAAUGACAAUCAUUAGAGGUCUAGAAAGCUUGGGAAGAUUAGGGUCUAAUUUCUUCAAGACAACUUAUGGGAAAUUGAGGAUGGAGCAUGAUGCUCAUAGCACUACUCAUGUGCAGCAUGAGUUAAGGAUGGACCAUGGUGCUCAAAGCUCUACUUUGAAUAAGGAGCAACAUAAGUUGGGGGUGGAGCAUGAUGCUCAGAAUUCUAAUCAGGAAAAGAAUAACUUGGUUUGGAUCAGAUUAUUAUUUGGUAGAUUUUGGAGGCAAAGAUAGUGAAAGAUAGAACAAAGUGGUUUACCUCACCAUGUGUUAUGAUUUUUUAUAUUCUGGAUGGUUCCACCAAAGACACGCCCUGUGAAAAGAAUCAAGACUAUUGCAGGGCGAACAUCCCGUGCACCUGCAUUUGACUACACCUUCCAUCAUAAGGAACAUUAGAAUUUUUAUCCAAAGUUGGAAGAGAGAAGUAUCUAUAUGGAGAGGAUGGUUCAACUUAAGCCUAAUGAAUACCCUGAAUUCUAGGAAGAAAUCAAAAGAAGGAAGUGGGAAAAGCUAGCCUCCUACAUGGCCCCUGCCAACAUUUCUAUUGUGCGGGAGUUUUAUUACAAUGCUGGGGUUCUUAGCAAUGAGUUUCUUGAGUACACCAGCUAUGUUAGGGGUGUCACUAUCAGGUUUGAUGCAAACACCAUUAAUGUUUUUUUGGGCACCCAUCUGACAGAAGGCCUUAGGUAUUUUGAGUAUUCAGAUUGGAUAUCCCCCAACAAGGAUUAUUAGUUGGUGGAACAAACUAUCUAUAAAACAGGGAAGAAAUUUUAGUACACAAGCAGAGGAAAGAUAUCUCAUAUUCUGAGGGAAGAUUUAAUCCCAAUGGCAAAAGUUUUGGUAGCUUUUAUUCAUGACAAUCUUGCUCCGUGUUACUACACUUCUGAUGUUUUGGAGCCAAGGGCACUGCUUCUCUAUGCUAUCAUGGAUAAAAAAAGUUAUUGAUGUAGGGGCACUCAUAGCUGAAAAGAUUAGAAGCUGUGCAUUAGGGGGUAAAGGAAUUAUAUGUGAGAGAUAAAAAGAGUAAGAGAGCGAGAGAGAGAGAUGAGAGAAGAUUUGCAAUAGGCAAAGAAUGUAAUUGAUUAACUGCAGAAAACAGAGUACAAGACAGGUUUUAUAGAGCCAAUUAAGAUUGGUCUAUAAUAACCUAAUUAUCUAUAAUAACAGAAUAAUAACCUGAUUAUCUAUAAUAACAGAAAGAUAACCUAAUUAUCUAUAAUAACCGAAAAUAACAAUAAAGGAGUAAAACUGUACUCCAAUAGCCCCUCGCAA